UCAUGGCUCAGAACGAACGUGGCGGCGUGGAUUAGGCAUGCAAGUCGAGCGAAUCCCGUGGGCCACCUGCGGGGAAGCGGCGAAAGGGGCAGUAAGGGCAUGGGUAACUUGCCCCGGAGACCGGGAUAGCCAUCCCAACGGAUGGGUAAUACCGGGCGUCGUAACGAGGAGGCAUCUUCUUGUUACGAAAGGAGUUUCGCUCCGGGAGAGGCUCAUGUAGUAUUAGCUAGUUGGUGAGGUAACGGCUCACCAAGGCCAAGAUGCUUAGCAGGUGUGAGAGCACGACCUGCGCCACUGGCACUGUGACACUGGCCAGACUCCUACGGGAGGCUGCAGUCGAGGAUCUUCGGCAAUGGGCGCAAGCCUGACCGAGCGACGCCGCGUGAGCGAUGAAGGCCUUCGGGUUGUAAAGCUCUGUCGGGGGGGAGAAAGGGUAACUUGAUCGACCCCCGGAGGAAGCACGGGCUAAGUUCGUGCCAGCAGCCGCGGUAAGACGAACCGUGCGAACGUUGUUCGGAAUCACUGGGCUUAAAGGGCGCGUAGGCGGGCGACCAAGUCAGGGGUGAAAGCCCCCAGCUCAACUGGGGAAGUGCCUUUGAUACUGGUUGUCUCGAGGGAGGUAGGGGCGUGCGGAACUUCCGGUGGAGCGGUGAAAUGCGUAGAUAUCGGAAGGAACGCCGAUGGCGAAAGCAGCGCGCUGGACCUCUUCUGACGCUGAGGCGCGAAAGCUAGGGGAGCAAACGGGAUUAGAUACCCCGGUAGUCCUAGCCCUAAACGAUGAGUACUAGGUAGUGGACUUGACAUGGGUUCACUGCCGAAGCAAAAGUGUUAAGUACUCCGCCUGGGGAGUAUGGUCGCAAGGCUGAAACUCAAAGGAAUUGACGG
rnacentral:rRNA from 1 species